UCGGCACUAUAAUAACACAGAUUUAUCAUUUGUAGAAAACAAAGGAUAUAUAUUAGAAAAGGCAAAAAAAGGAGAAUUAUUUCUUGAUGCCAUGAUUUAUGUCCGUUUCUUUAAUUUGUUAACUUCUCCGAUGAGAUAAAUCCAGACAAUCAGAGAAGGUACUCUUUCAAUUUCCGUAAAUCAUUCUAUCAAUUUUUCUAUUUUUCCUUUUGAUUCUACUAAACCUUCUUAUUCCUACAGAUUACUCUUGCGGUCGAAAAAAUCAAAGCGCCUUCAAUUUCUUGAGUAGCUAUUUAUUCAAUGUUUAAAAAAUAGUUAUGUAUAUCUCAAAAAGAUUUAUAGUAUCUCCCAUUAAAAUUGUAAGACAAUUUUUGCCACCUUUCAAUAGCCUUAAUUGCUGUUAUUGUGGGAAGAAUAAGUGAGCAAAAUUGUAAUUUACCAACAUUGAUUUUCCCACCUUAAAUAGUCAUUUAUUGACCAUUAUUCUAAUUCAAUUUCUCCAACGUUUUUUUUGACCAAAUUAACAUACCAAUAUACUCUCUUUAUUACCUUCAUUCUUCUCUAGUAAUUGGUAUUAAUAUUACUUAUCCGUUGGACUCUUCUUCAGCGUGGAAAUAAGAAUAUAUCAUCUUCUAUAUAAAGGGAUGUCCUACUCCAUUGGUGAAUUGAACAAGAACAAUAAUUCUUCCUCCUUUCUUUUCUUGUGCUGGGUUUUCUCUUUUGGUUAAUCUUUGUUAGAUUCUGGCUCCUAGUUUUGUACUAGAAGAGCUUGUUGAAUCCUGGGGAUACACCAACACAUGGUGAAAUAUCCUUAAGGACAGUGUCUUAAUUGACAUGCCUCAAGCUAUCAAGAGUUUCUUUACAAGUGUUCGUGAUCAAGUAUUUUCAGACAAGGUUCGUGAUCAAGUAUUUUCCGUAAUAUUUCCAACAAUCUUAAGGAUAUUUCUCACUCUAUUCUUACGGAAAAUUGAAAGAGAAUAACUUAGUACAGUAUGUCUAAGUUCCAGGUAUCCAGAGUUACUUCCCGAAGACGACUCUCGAAGAUCUUUUCAGAUUUCUAUCUGUAUUUACUUUUAUGUUCUUUAAAUUAUUCAAAAUAUAAAAUAUAGUGAACCUUUACUUUUUGGGGUGCCGGUUGGUGGAAUUUAUUUAUUAAUGUUACACAUUUUUUUAUUUAAAGUUCACUACGUGUUUUAGGCAAA